rnacentral:rRNA from 1 species
CUAACGAAUAAGGGGUGGGCAAGUUCUGGUGUCAGCCGCCGCGGUAAAACCAGCACCUCAAGUGGUCAGGAUGAUUAUUGGGCCUAAAGCAUCCGUAGCCGGCUCUGUAAGUUUUCGGUUAAAUCUGUACGCUCAACGUACAGGCUGCCGGGAAUACUGCAGAGCUAGGGAGUGGGAGAGGUAAACGGUACUCGGGAGGAAGUGGUAAAAUGCUUUGAUCUCUCGAUGACCACCUGUGGCGAAGGCGGUCUACCAGAACACGUCCGACGGUGAGGGAUGAAAGCUGGGGGAGCAAACCGGAUUAGAUACCCGGGUAGUCCCAGCUGUAAACUAUGCAAACUCAGUGAUGCAUUGGCUUGUGGCCAAUGCAGUAUUGCAGGGAAGCCGUUAAGUUUGCCGCCUGGGAAGUACGUACGCAAGUAUGAAACUUAAAGGAAUUGGCGGGGGAGCACCACAAGGGGGA